UACGGAGGGUGCGAGCGUUGUUCGGAAUUACUGGGCGUAAAGCGCACGUAGGCGGAUACUUAAGUCAGGGGUGAAAUCCCGGGGCUCAACCCCGGAACUGCCUUUGAUACUGGGUAUCUCGAGUCCGGAAGAGGUGAGUGGAAUUCCGAGUGUAGAGGUGAAAUUCGUAGAUAUUCGGAGGAACACCAGUGGCGAAGGCGGCUCACUGGUCCGGUACUGACGCUGAGGUGCGAAAGCGUGGGGAGCAAACAGG
rnacentral:rRNA from 1 species